UCCCAGUGGAAUUAAUGGAAGCUGUCAACAGCCCGCCCCUGACCUCACUGGAUAUAACUGUGUCCUCGGCAGACGGCUUUGAUCCAGAGGCUUUGACAAGGCUACUGCUCAUCCAACUCAGCCAGAAAGUAGGGAGAGAAUAACCAGAGGAAGGGCUGAAAAUCCUGGAGAACACCAACAUUAACAAGGUUCAAUCCAAUGCCUGUCUAAAUCCCAGCUGGCUUUUCUGCAGAAAUUGAUGAGCUGAUCCUAAAAUUUAUAUGGAAAUGCAAAAGACAGAGUAACCAAAGCCAUCCUGAAAAAGAACAGGAUUGAAAGACUUAUGCUAAUUUCAAAACUUACUACAAAGGUAUCUACCCAAGGGAAAUGAAAACAUAUGUCCAACCAAAAUCUUUUAGGUAAAUGUUCAUAGUAGCACUAUUCUCAAGAACCAACAGAUGGAGACAAACCGAAC